rnacentral:rRNA from 1 species
CCUACGGGGGGCAGCAGUGGGGAAUAUUGCACAAUGGGCGCAAGCCUGAUGCAGCCAUGCCGCGUGUGUGAAGAAGGCCUUCGGGUUGUAAAGCACUUUCAGCGGGGAGGAAGGCGUUAAGGUUAAUAACCUUGUCGAUUGACGUUACCCGCAGAAGAAGCACCGGCUAACUCCGUGCCAACAGCCGCGGUAAUACGGAGGGUGCAAGCGUUAAUCGGAAUUACUGGGCGUAAAGCGCACGCAGGCGGUCUGUCAAGUCGGAUGUGAAAUCCCCGGGCUCAACCUGGGAACUGCAUUCGAAACUGGCAGGCUAGAGUCUUGUAGAGGGGGGUGGAAUUCCAGGUGUAGCGGUGAAAUGCGUAGAGAUCUGGAGGAAUACCGGUGGCGAAGGCGGCCCCCUGGACAAAGACUGGCGCUCAGGUGCGAAAGCGUGGGGAGCAAACAGGAUUAGAUACCCGUGUAGUC